rnacentral:rRNA from 1 species
UACGUAGGGGGGCAAGCGUUGUCCGGAUUUAUUGGGCGUAAAGAGCGUGUAGGCGGCCAGGUAGGUCCGCUGUGAAAACUCGAGGCUCAACCUCGAGAUGUCGGCGGAAACCAUCUGGCUAGAGUCCGGAAGAGGAAAGUGGAAUUCCCGGUGUAGCGGUGAAAUGCGCAGAUAUCGGGAAGAACACCCGUGGCGAAGGCGGUUCUCUGGGACGGUACUGACGCUGAGACGCGAAAGCGUGGGGAGCGAACAGG